UGCUUAUUAACCUUUAUCCAGAAGACACCUCAAAACCGGCAACUCUAUUAGCUGUGAUUAGUUACUGCAGCAGAAAAUAAUACGCCGUUUAUGGUGAAAUAGAAAAUCGAAUCAAGUGAAAUACUAGAAAUAGUACGCCGUUUAUGGUGAAUUUUAACAAGAGAUGUUAAAAUUGUUUUGGGAGUAGAAAUCGAAUCAAGUGAAACACUAGCCGGAAUAUUACUGAAAGUCAUUGAAAAAGGCGGGGAUUGGGGAAUGGCGACGGUGCAGGCAGUAAUGGGGAAUCUGUCGGCGAGUGAUCGGCGAAUACUGACGGCGGUCAACACCGGAGCCUCCACCUUCUCAUUUAUCGGUUCCGGAUUCAUAGUGCUCUGCUAUUUGCUCUUCAAAGAGCUCCGCAAGUUCUCCUUCAAACUCGUCUUCUUCCUCGCCCUCUCCGACAUGCUGUGUAGUUUCUUCAGCAUAAUAGGGGAUCCAUCAAAGGGAUUUUUCUGUUAUGCUCAAGGCUAUACCACACAUUUCUUUUGUGUGGCUUCUUUUUUGUGGACAACAACAAUUGCUUUUACACUUCAUCGAACCGUUGUUAGACAUAAAACAGAUGUGGAAGAUUUAGAGCCCAUGUUUCAUUUGUAUGUUUGGGGAACUUCAGGAGUUGUGACUGUAAUACGCUCUAUCAGCAAUGACCAUGGGCAUAUAAGUCGUAUAGGAGCAUGGUGCUGGGCCCAAACAGGACGUACAGGGAAGGUGGUUCACUUUAUAACAUUUUAUGCUCCUCUUUGGGGUGCAAUUCUUUUUAAUGCUGUCACCUAUUUCCAAGUAAUACGCAUGUUAAAAAAUGCAACCCGUAUGGCAGCUGGCAUGUCGGAGAGGAUAUUCCAGUUUGAUUCACGGCCAGAUGUAAAGGACAAGGCUUGUGCUUGUGUGGGGUUUUGCAAGAAGAGGAGGAAGGUUAGGGAUAUGAUAGGUACUGAACCGCUGGGGCUAUUAUCCUCUCAUUCUAAUAGGAUCAUGGUUCUUUGGCACAAUCAACCGCAUCCACGAUUUUAUUGAACCAGGACACAAGAUAUUUUGGCUUUCUCUUCUUGAUGUAGGAAUGGCUGCACUCAUGGGUCUGUUCAACUCAAUUGCAUAUGGCCUUAACUCUUCAGUACGCAGGGCAAUAUAUGAAAGAAUGGAUCUGUUGCCAGAACGGCUGAGAAAAUGGUUUCCAAAAAGUUUGAGGUCAAGAGGUCAGCAACAGGAAAGUGAAUUAGUAUCCUUAAAAAUUCAGGACCAGCAAUAGCAAUUACAUGAUUUUCUUGUACAUUUAGCUGGAUGAGGUUGUCUCUGCUAAGUGAAACACCUACAAGUUCCACUGGGGUUAGUUGUAUUUCAAAACAGCUACAGCGUACAGAUUAUCUGAAGCAUUCUGGUUCACUCUCGUCAUGGAAGGAGGGGCAGUUCUUUUUUCUCUGGUUGGCCUUCUUCUAGUCUAUUUUGCUGCAAAUUUCCACUGCCGAUGCUCAUAUUCAAUCUGGCCUACAUGGAGGGUACCAAGUAGAAGAUACCAGUGGAUGGACUCAGACAUAUAGACAAACGUUGCAUCACUUUGGAUUUGGGGGAACUUGGGAAUGCAUUACUGUGAUAGCUGUUAAGAUUGGGUUAUAGAUUUUUUUAAAGUCUAACUUGUGCUCAGAAGAUUAAAUUGAUCAUUCUUUCUUGCGUGCAGUAACUGGUGAUUAUGGAAUUUUUAAACUCCUAAUUGAUUGAGUUUGUUUACACCAUUUUGGUUUUGGGUCAUA